CAUCUGGUGUCAGUAAAGUACUACAAAUUGAUCAAAAGUGCAGUCAUGGUCAUUUAACUGUGUUUAUUUACAUCAGUUAAUAAAAUUUAAGAUAUACAAAUUUCAUUUGGAAUAAUAAAUGGUACUUUUGUGAGUUUCUGCAGUGUUUACAUUAGGCUAUGCUAUCUGCCAAGUACAUAGUAUGACGCAAUGAUAUAAGGGG
rnacentral:lncRNA from 1 species